UCGGGAAUAUUGCGCAAUGGAGGAAACUCUGACGCAGUGACGCCGCGUAUAGGAAGAAGGUUUUCGGAUUGUAAACUAUUGUCGUUAGGGAAGAGAAAGGACAGUACCUAAGGAGGAAGCUCCGGCUAACUACGUGCC
rnacentral:rRNA from 1 species